rnacentral:rRNA from 1 species
AAAACAAACCUACGGGAGGCAGCAGUAGGGAAUCUUCCGCAAUGGGCGAAAGCCUGACGGAGCAACGCCGCGUGAGUGAUGAAGGUUUUCGGAUCGUAAAGCUCUGUUGCCAGGGAAGAACGUCCGGUAGAGUAACUGCUACCGGAGUGACGGUACCUGAGAAGAAAGCCCCGGCUAACUACGUGCCAGCAGCCGCGGUAAUACGUAGGGGCAAGCGUUGUCCGGAAUUAUUGGGCGUAAAGCGCGCGCAGGCGGUCAUUUAAGUCUGGUGUUUAAACCUUGGGCUCAACCUGGGGUCGCACUGGAAACUGGGUGACUUGAGUACAGAAGAGGAAAGUGG